rnacentral:rRNA from 1 species
GACGAACCGAGCGAACGUUGUUCGGAAUCACUGGGCUUAAAGGGCGCGUAGGCGGCUCGCGAGGUCGGGGGUGAAAUCCCACAGCUUAACUGUGGAAGUGCCUUCGAUACCGGCGGGCUGGAGGAAGGUAGGGGUGCGCGGAACUUCUGGUGGAGCGGUGAAAUGCGUUGAUAUCAGAAGGAACGCCGGCGGCGAAAGCGGCGCACUGGACCUUUUCUGACGCUGAUGCGCGAAAGCCAGGGGAGCAAACGGG